GAUGAACGCUGGCGGCGUGCCUAAUACAUGCAAGUCGAGCGAACGGACGAUAAGCUUGCUUCUCUGAUGUUAGCGGCGGACGUGUGAGUAACACGUGGAUAACCUACCUAUCAGACUGGGAUAACUUCGGGACACCGUAUCUAAUACCGGAUAAUAUUUUGAACCGCAUGGUUCAAAAGUGAAAGACGGUCUUGCUGUCACUUAUAGAUGGAUCCGCGCUGCAUUAUCUAGUUGUUAAGGUAACGGCUUACCAAGGCAACGAUGCAUAGCCGACCUGAGAGAGUGAUAGGCCACACUGGAACUGGGACACGGUCCAGACGCCUACGGGAGGCAGCAGAAGGGAAUCUUACGCAAUGGGCGAAAGCAUGACGGAGCAACGCCGAGUGAGUGAUGAAGGUCUUCGGAUCGUAAAACUCUGUUAUUAGGGAAGAACAUAUGUGUAAGUAGCUGUGCACAUCUUGACGGUACCUAAUCAGAAAGCCACGGCUAACUACGUG
rnacentral:rRNA from 1 species